rnacentral:antisense_RNA from 1 species
CUUGACGGACCCGAGCAGCAGCGGGUGCUCGCGCUCCUGCCCGUAUGUGGCCAGCAGCGCCUGCGCCUC